rnacentral:misc_RNA from 1 species
AAUUGUUUAUGGAGUUUUUGCAGUUCACUAUCCUCUUGCAAACAUCUCAUCCGAAGUUCCAUUUCUGAUUUACUGAGUUGUUCAUGAGGAAAUGCCGCCACAGGCCUCUCAGAGGGAGCAGCUUGUGCAGCCUCUCCUGACUUUGCUAAAGCACUUCCUACAAACUCGCGGCAAACAUGAAGAUCAGAGAAAUUUUUGAACUCAAAAAUGUAACUUCCACCCUGGUCCCUGGUGAGAUUAAGCCACGGUGGUUUAUUUGAUCCUUCCUUAGUGUUUUUGUGGCCUUUAAUAAAUCUAAACUCUACAUCAAGCUUAGAAGCUGAAGUGG